UACGUAGGGGGCAAGCGUUGUCCGGAUUUAUUGGGCGUAAAGAGCGUGUAGGCGGCUUUACAGGUCCGUUGUGAAAACUCGAGGCUCAACCUCGAGACGCCGGUGGAAACCGUAAGGCUAGAGUCCGGAAGAGGAGAGUGGAAUUCCUGGUGUAGCGGUGAAAUGCGCAGAUAUCAGGAAGAACACCCGUGGCGAAGGCGGCUCUCUGGGACGGUACUGACGCUGAGACGCGAAAGCUAGGGGAGCGAACAGG
rnacentral:rRNA from 1 species